ensembl:lncRNA
CACUCUUUUCCCCAGGAAUACUUCAUAAGUGAUAACUGGCAUGCUGUAGUCCAUGGUGCCGCAGAGAGUCAAACACGACGUAGCAACUGAACAACAACUGUGCGCUUCCUCCUUCAUCACGUCAGGAGGCACAUGGUGUCUGUUUGCUGGACUAGAAUAGUGAUGCCAAGAUUGAUCAGUAACUUCAGGCAGACGCUUUAUCAUCUGAGCCACCAGGGAAGUCCAUGGGAGCAACUAAAACCCUCGCACUGCACCACGUGCCUCAACUGCUGAGCCUGCACACUGCAACAAAGACCCAGCACAGCCAAACAAAUAAAAAUGUUAAAAUGCUUGGUUCUCUUCCAUUUGUCGUAGAUAGGUGUUAUGGAGUGAAUGUUUGUGUCUCCCUGCUCCUAAAAAUUCCUGUUAAAAUCCUAAUCCUGAAUGUGCUGGUAUUUGGAGAUGGGACCUUUGGAAGAUAAAGAGGUCAUGAGGAUGGAGCCCUCAUGAUGAGAUUAGUGCCCUUAUAAGAAGAGACGUGGGAGAGCUUGUUUCCUGUCUCUGCUCUCUACCAUGUGAGAAUACAAUGAGAAGACAGUUGUCUGCAAACCAGGAAGUAGGCCCUCACCAGACGCCAGAUACGCUGGCCUCCAGUACUGUGAGACAUUUAAGCCACCCCAGCUAUGGUAAUUAGUUUUAGCAGCCUGAACUGACUAAGACAACAGGGUUGCCUUCAAGUGGAUGUGAGUCAAGACUUUGAAUGCAAGGAGUUUAUCUGGGAGGUCAUGCCAAGGGGCACUGGUAGAAGACUGGAAAAGGGAGACAGGAAAAGGGAGAAGGCUGAUGAGAAAUUGUGAUAGAGCCGGCGGAAGAACUGUGGCUGAAUCCUGCUCGGGAAUUCUGGAAGGCGAUGUAGAGCCUGUCUCAAGAAAUACCACCUGAGGGGCAAAGAAACUAAAGUACAGUAAGUCCCCAGAUAUGAACCUGCAAGUUGUAAGCUUUCAAAAAUGCAAACAUUCUUCACUGGAUUGUUGUUUCAAGAGGGUAGAUAGAAUUGACACCAUAGAGGAACCAGAGCCCGUGCCAUCAGCGUCAGGUGAGAGUGAAACUGUGGCUUUCCUUCUCUCUCCUACUGCUGACAGUCUUUCAGCUUUGCCAUCUCCCACCUCCUCUCCCUCCUCCAGUCAAUAAUGCCUCUUGCCUGUUCACUUGAUGCCAGCCCCUGUAUGCCAGCUGUUGUAUUUUACUUUUCAAGGUGC